rnacentral:precursor_RNA from 1 species
AUAGGGAUCCCUUGAAAAUAUGGGCAUGCGUAAUCUGGAUGGAUGUGCACAUUUCAAGGAGAAAAAAAAGGAGAGAGAGAGAGAGGAGCUGAGGAUAUGUUCGAUGCUGCAACCUGCGGCCGUUUCUGUCAUGGAAGAAAAGCUUUGGAUCCACCAGCUCGUUUCUGUACUUGGACAGUAUAAAUAGCCGAAGGGCACGCAGAGCGUUGCAUCCAAUCCAAGGCCACAGAUUUGUGUGUGUGCAGUGUGCUAGAGAGUGGCGAUAAGAGUCUGUCCAGAUAGCCAAGGAUGACUUGCCUGUGGCUUCUUGGCUUGGCUUGGCUCGGGCAAAACCUUGUGCACGUUUUAUUGCUCGCCUCGUGGCCUCGAUCACAGGCAGUCUCCUUGGCUAGUCCGGGCGGGCCCCUUAUCUGAAACCGAUCCCUGGUUCAUUCAUAUAUCGGUGAGCGUGCGACCGAGGGAAAGCAUAUAUGCGGUGCAGGUGCAGGUGCAGGCGUGACAGCUACUAGCUCUGGGCAGAGGACUGGCCUGGCAUGGCGAUGGAAGCUCUGCUUCGGUAGCCAAGGAUGAGCUGCCUGUGGCCUCCUGCUGCGGACGUUGCGUGGCCCCGCCUCCACCGCGUGCGGUCCCCGCAGGCAGCCUCCUUGGCUAGUCUGAGCGGCUUCCAUCCUCCAUGCUAGGCUCAUCUCCUCUUCAGUUAAUCUGUAAAUGCAGCAGCUUUGCUUUAAAGUCGUGGCACGUCAUCAGAAGCAGUGCAUCACACGUUGUUUAAUUUAUCCAAUCUUCCUAAAUGCAUGUAAUGUAACUCGGUCGGUAUAUAGUUUCACUUGGCUUGGUGUGCAGCAGAAGCAUAUCAAGGUCGA